GAGAGUUAAAUAGUACGUGAAAUUGUUGAAAGGGAAACGAUUGAAGUCAGUCAUGCUAGUGAAAAAUCAGUUUGACGGGUUUUGAGUUCGGGAGUAGAGGCAGGGUCAAACCGUUUCUCUUUUGGACUUGGGAUUUGUCGGAUGUACUUUUUCUUUGGCAGGUCAGCGUCGGUUUCGGAGGUUGUAAAAUACUUGGGGGAAAGUAGCUCUGCUUCGGGAGAGUAUUAUAGACCCUGGGGGAUGCAGCCUGUGGGAUCGAGGAUUGCAGCAAAUGCCUUUGGCUUGUCGCCUGAUCUCUGGAUGUUACCUUGCUUGUGACAACAUUCUUGCCACCGGGGAGUACUGAUGCCCAUUAGGUUAGAACGAUCAAAAAUUUGCUAAGGAUGCUGACGUAAUGGCUUUAAACGA
rnacentral:rRNA from 1 species